GAUGAACGCUGGCGGCGUGCCUAAUACAUGCAAGUCGAGCGAACGGACGCGAAGCUUGCUUCUCUGAUGUUAGCGGCGGACGGGUGAGUAACACGUGGAUAACCUCCCUAUAUGUCUGGGAUAACUUCGGGAAUCCGGCGCUAAUACCGGAUAAUCUUUUGAACCGUAUGGUUCAAAAGUAAAAGUCGGUCUUGCUGUCACUUAUAGAUGGAUCUGCGCUGCAUUAGCUGGUUGGUAAGCUCACGGCUUUCCACGGCAACGAUGCAUAGCCGACCUGAGAGAGUGAUAGGCCACACUGGAACGGAGACACGGACCAGGCGACUGCGGUAGGGAGCAGUAGGGAAUCGGCCGCAGUAGGCGAAAGCCUUGCGGAGCAGCGCGACGUGAGAGAUGGAGGUCUUCGGAGCGGAAAGACCUGUUAUGAGUGAUAAACAUAUGUGUAAGUUAACGAGCAGAGCGUGACGGUACCGAGUCAAAAAGCAACGGCUAACUACGUG
rnacentral:rRNA from 1 species